rnacentral:rRNA from 1 species
CAUGCAAGUCGUGCGAGAAAGUAUCUUCGGAUAUGAGUAGAGCGGCGGACGGGUGAGUAACGCGUAGGAAUCUACCUAGUAGAAGGGGAUAGCCCGGGGAAACUCGGAUUAAUACCGUAUACCUCCUUCGGGAGAAAGAAGGCCUCUCUUUGAAGCUUUCGCUAUUAGAUGAGCCUGCGUAAGAUUAGCUUGUUGGUGAGGUAAAGGCUCACCAAGGCGACGAUCUUUAGCGGGUCUGAGAGGACGAUCCGCCACAUUGGGACUGAGACACGGCCCAGACUCCUACGGGAGGCAGCAGUGGGGAAUAUUGGACAAUGGGCGCAAGCCUGAUCCAGCCAUACCGCGUGUGUGAAGAAGGCCCUAGGGUUGUAAAGCACUUUAAGUUGGGAAGAAAAGUUAUUGGUUAAUACCCAAUAACCGUGACAUUACCAUCAGAAUAAGGACCGGCUAAUUCCGUGCCAGCAGCCGCGGUAAUACGGAAGGUCCAAGCGUUAAUCGGAAUUACUGGGCGUAAAGCGCGCGUAGGUGGUUUAUUAAGUUGGAUGUGAAAUCCCCGGGCUCAACCUGGGAACUGCAUCCAAAACUGAUUCACUAGAGUACGAUAGAGGGAGGUAGAAUUCACAGUGUAGCGGUGGAAUGCGUAGAUAUUGUGAAGAAUACCAAUGGCGAAGGCAGCCUCCUGGAUCUGUACUGACACUGAGGUGCGAAAGCGUGGGUAGCGAACAGGAUUAGAUACCCUGGUAGUCCACGCCGUAAACGAUGUCAACUAGCUGUUGGAAAACUAUGUUUUUCAGUGGCGCAGCUAACGUAGUAAGUUGACCGCCUGGGGAGUACGGCCGCAAGGCUAAAACUCAAAUGAAUUGACGGGGACCCGCACAAGCGGUGGAGCAUGUGGUUUAAUUCGAUGCAACGCGAAAAACCUUACCUAUACUUGACAUACUUGGAAUGCUUUGUAAUGAAGCAGUGCCUUCGGGAGCCAAGAUACAGGUGCUGCAUGGCUGUCGUCAGCUCGUGUCGUGAGAUGUUCCGUUAAGUCGGAUAACGAGCGCAACCCUUACCCUUAUUUGCCAGCGAUUCGGUCGGGGAACUAUAAGGGGACUGCCGGUGAUAAACCGGAGGAAGGUGAGGACGACGUCAAGUCAUCAUGGCCCUUACGUAUAGGGCUACACACGUGCUACAAUGGAGAAUACAGACGGACGCUAAGCCGCGAGGUGGUGCUAAUCCUAGAAAAUUCUUCGUAGUCCGGAUUGGAGUCUGCAACUCGACUCCAUGAAGUCGGAAUCGCUAGUAAUCGCGAAUCAGCAUGUCGCGGUGAAUACGUUCUCGGGUCUUGUACACACCGCCCGUCAUACCAUGGAAGUGGAUUGCACCAGAAGUAGAUAGUCUAACCUUCGGGAGGGCGUUAC